rnacentral:rRNA from 1 species
GACAGAGGGUGCAAACGUUGUUCGGAAUUACUGGGCGUAAAGCGCGUGUAGGCGGCCAUCUAAGUCGGGCGUGAAAUCCCACGGCUCAACCGUGGAAGUGCACUCGAAACUGGAUGGCUAGAGUCCUGGAGAGGAAGGUGGAAUGCUUGGUGUAGAGGUGAAAUUCGUAGAUAUCAGGUGGAACACCAGUGGCGAAGGCGGCUUUCUGGACGGUAACUGACGCUGAGACGCGAAAGCGUGGGGAGCAAACAGG